rnacentral:misc_RNA from 1 species
GAUGAAGAACGUAGCGAAAUGCGAUACUUGGUGUGAAUUGCAGAAUCCCGUGAACCAUCGAGUCUUUGAACGCAAGUUGCGCCCGAAGCCAUUAGGCCGAGGGCACGCCUGCCUGGGCGUCACACGUCGUUGCCCCCCCAUCUACUCCUUCGGGAUUGCGGGGGGCGGAUGAUGGCCUCUCGUGCGCCUCGUCGCGCGGUUGGCCUAAAUGCCAAGUCCUCGGCGACGCACGCCACGACAAUCGGUGGUUGCGAAACCUCGGUUGCCUGUCGUGUGCGGUCGUCGCGCAUCGAGGGCUCGAAAAAAUUGCCGGGCUUCGGCUCGACUUUCAACGCGACCCCAGGUCAGGCGGGGUUACCCGCUGAAUUUAAGCAUAUCAUAAGCGGAGGA